GGUGCUGUAGACUAAUUGGUUAGGUCGACUCCGUGAAACGGAGGAAAUGCGGGUUCGCAUCCCGUCGGCGAGCA